CUCCUACGGGAGGCAGCAGUGGGGAAUUUUGCGCAAUGGGGGAAACCCUGACGCAGCAACGCCGCGUGGAGGAUGAAGCCCCUUGGGGUGUAAACUCCUUUCGACCGGGAAAAUAAUGAUGGUACCGGUGGAAGAAGCACCGGCUAACUCUGUGCCAGCCGCCGCGGUAAUAC
rnacentral:rRNA from 1 species